ACUCAGGACCUUCAGAAAAGCAGUCGGGUGCUCUUACCCACUGAGCCAUCUCACCAGCCCGGUCUUUAAGAAUCUUGUAUGAUUGUUCUAACUAUCUUUAGAUGACAGAUGUAAGGGACUUUAAAAGUAAAAACUUUGGAUAUUGAUUUGUUACAAUGAAUGUGAAUCAUCUUUGAUACAACACACAUGCAUCUAUAUGCAUAACUAUAUGUGUAUGUUUUGAAAAAAUUAGACUCAGUGACUGCUGUAUUUAUGAUAUGGUACAAGGACUUUCAGAAAUUUUGUUCUAUUCGUAUGAUGCUAGUUAAUAGAAGCUAAAAUAUAGCUGGGUAUGAUGGUGUAUACCUGUAAUUCCAGAACUUGGGAAGGGGACAGGGGUUUUAAAUUUGAGGCCAUCCUGUUCUAUAUAGAGAGACUAACUCAAGAAUAAAGUAAAAUAAAAUAAGAGUACCUAAAACUCAUGCCAGUAGUUACCAUAAGGCAAGGUUUCUGGUUUAAAUAUUGUAUUUUGGGGCUGUCAAGGUGGUUCAGUGGUAAAGGUCCCUGCUACUGCACAGCCUGAGUUUGAUCCCUGGGGACCCAUAUGUUGGAAAGAGAAAACUGAUUCCUGUUACAUAUGCGCCCAGGGCAUGUACCCACACACAGAUAACAUAAAUUAAAAUGUAAUGGAAAGAAAAGUCUAGGCUGCUGGAUGGUUUUGGGAGGAUGUUUUGGCUGGAAAUGUCAAUGGUUAUUUGGAAACCAUAUUUUUUUUUAAAGAUUUUAUUUAUUUUAUGUAUAUGAGUACACUGUAGUUGUCUUCAUACACACCAGAAGAGGGCAUCAGAUCCCAUUGCAGAUGGUUGUGAGCCACCACAUAGUUGCUGGGAAUUGAACUCAGGACCUCUGGAAGAACAGUCAUUGCUGAUGACCGCUGGGCCCUCUCUCCAGCCCCCAGAAACCAUAUUUCCAGCAGAAAUUUUGUAACUAAGCUUCAUUCCCCUCCCCUAAACUAGGGAUUGGAGCCAAGGCUUUAUGACUGCUAGGCAAGAGCUAUGUACCACUGAGCUUCUCAACUCAGUCCUUAUCUGUAUUUCAUAGCAACGUUUCUGUUGAAAGGGGAAAGUUACUUGGAAAAAUCUACCUAAGUGGAUUUUGUUUGCAACCUUUUCUGAGUUUAAGGAAAAUUGUAAACCUUGGUAAGGACCAGUUUAUUUUUGGAGAAGAGAAACCAAUUUGUAACCAAGAACCUAUAUAUCUAUUUCUCAAAUGUCUAAGUUGUGAAAACU
rnacentral:lncRNA from 1 species